CAUUAUCUGCUAAACAUGUGACU
rnacentral:piRNA from 1 species